AGAGUUUGAUCCUGGCUCAGGAUGAACGCUGACAGAAUGCUUAACACAUGCAAGUCUUUGGCGAAGCUGUGCUUGCACAGCCUAGCCAAGGCGGACGGGUGAGUAACGCGUAAGGGACUUGCCCUGCAGUCAGGGAUAACAGACGGAAACGACUGAUAAGACCUGGUAAAGUCAGGCGGACUCAUGUCCAGCCUGAUGAAAAGGAAUGCUGCAGGAGAGCCUUGCGUCCUAUUAGCUUGUUGGUGGGGUAACGGCCCACCAAGGCGAUGAUAGGUAGCCGGCCUGAGAGGGUGGACGGCCACAAGGGGACUGAGAUACGGCCCUUACUCCUACGGGAGGCAGCAGUGGGGAAUAUUGGACAAUGGGGGCAACCCUGAUCCAGCAAUUCUGUGUGCACGAUGAAGGUCUUCGGAUUGUAAAGUGCUUUCAGCAGGGAAGAAAAAAAUGACGGUACCUGCAGAGAGC
rnacentral:rRNA from 1 species